rnacentral:rRNA from 1 species
AGUUGUAGAAUCACUGGUGAAUAAGGGGUGGGCAAGUUCUGGUGUCAGCCGCCGCGGUAAAACCAGCACCUCGAGUGGUCAGGAGGUUUAUUGGGCCUAAAGCAUCCGUAGCCGGUUGCAUAAGUUUUCGGUUAAAUCUAUGCGCUUAACGUAUAGGCCGCCGAAAAUACUGUGCAGCUAGGGAGUGGGAGAGGUACACGGUACUCGAUAGGAAGGGGUAAAAUCCUUUGAUCUAUUGAUGACCACCUGUGGCGAAGGCGGUGUACCAGAACACGUUCGACGGUGAGGGAUGAAAGCUGGGGGAGCAAACCGGAUUAGAUACCCGGGUAGUCCCAGCUGUAAACGAUGCAGACUCGGUGAUGCAUUGGCUUGUGGCCAAUGCAGUGCCGCAGGGAAGCCGUUAAGUCUGCCGCCUGGGAAGUACGUACGCAAGUAUGAAACUUAAAGGAAUUGGCGGGGGAGCACCACAAGGGGUGAAGCCUGCGGUUCAAUUGGAGUCAACGCCAGAAAUCUUACCUGGGGAGACAGCAGAAUGAAGGUCAAGCUGAAGACUUUACCAGACACGCUGAGAGGUGGUGCAUGGCCGUCGCCAGCUCGUGCCGUGAGAUGUCCUGUUAAGUCAGGUAACGAGCGAGACCCCUGCGUCUAGUUGCUACCAUUACUCUCUGGAGCAAUGGAGCGAAUUAGACGGACCGCCACAGUUAAUGUGGAGGAAGGAAGGGGCCACGGCAGGUCAGUAUGCCCCGAAACCCUAGGGCUACACGCGGGCUGCAAUAGUAUUGACAUGUGUUCCGAAUCCGAAAGGAGGAGGCAAUCAUCAAACAUAUCUCAGUUAUGACUGAGGGC